rnacentral:miRNA from 1 species
CUUCCGGUCAAAGAGGUUCUGUAACCCUUUCGGCCGGAAGGAAUCCUUCCGCUCAAAGAGGUUUUGUAACCUCUUCAACUGGAAGGGAAGAGGUUACAAAACCUCUUUGACUGGAAGGAAUCCUUCCGGUCAAAGGGGUUACAGAACCUCUUCAACUGGAAG